AAUAAGAGGUCCCGCCUGCCCUGUGACUAGAAUGUUUAACGGCCGCGGUAUUUUGACCGUGCGAAGGUAGCGCAAUCACUUGUCUUUUAAAUGGAGACCUGUAUGAAUGGCAUAACGAGGGCUUAACUGUCUCCUCUCUCAAGUCAAUGAAAUUGAUCCCCCCGUGCAGAAGCGGGGAUAAUAACAUAAGACGAGAAGACCCUAUGGAGCUUUAGAUAUAAGAUAGAUCACGUCAAAAAUGCUUAAAUAAGAGCUAGAACAAGGUAAAUACUAUCGAAAUAUCUUUGGUUGGGGCGACCGCGGAGAAAAAUUAAUCCUCCAUGUGGACUGGGGACCGAGUCCCUAUAACUGAGAGCUCCCGCUCUAUGUAUUAGUAACAUCUAACCUACCAGAUCCGGCCAUGCCGAUCAACGGACCGAGUUACCCUAGGGAUAACAGCGCAAUCCCCUUACAGAGACCUUAUCAACAAGGGGGUUUACGACCUCGAUGUUGGAUCAGGACAUCCUAAUGGUGCAGACGCUAUUAAGGGUUCGUUUGUUCAACGAUUAAAGUCCU
rnacentral:rRNA from 1 species